GAUGAACGCUGGCGGCGUGCCUAAUACAUGCAAGUCGAGCGAACGGACGAGAAGCUUGCUUCUCUGAUGUUAGCGGCGGACGGGUGAGUAACACGUGGAUAACCUACCUAUAAGACUGGGAUAACUUCGGGAAACCGGAGCUAAUACCGGAUGAUAUUUUGAACCGCAUGGUUCAAAAGUGAAAGACGGUCUUGCUGUCACUUAUAGAUGGAUCCGCGCUGCAUUAGCUAGUUGGUAAGGUAACGGCUUACCAAGGCAACGAUGCAUAGCCGACCUGAGAGGGUGAUCGGCCACACUGGAACCGAGACACGGUCCAGACUCCUACGGGAGGCAGCAGUAGGGAAUCUUCCGCAAUGGGCGAAAGCCUGACGGAGCAACGCCGCGUGAGUGAUGAAGGUCUUCGGAUCGUAAAACUCUGUUAUUAGGGAAGAACAUAUGUGUAAGUAACUGUGCACAUCUUGACGGUACCUAAUCAGAAAGCCAUGGCUAACUACGUG
rnacentral:rRNA from 1 species